rnacentral:rRNA from 1 species
CCUACGGGAGGCAGCAGUGGGGAAUAUUGCACAAUGGGCGGAAGCCUGAUGCAGCGACGCCGCGUGAGGGAUGACGGCCUUCGGGUUGUAAACCUCUUUCGACUCCGACGAAGCGAAAGUGACGGUAGGAGUAUAAGAAGCACCGGCCAACUACGUGCCAGCAGCCGCGGUAAUACGUAGGGUGCGAGCGUUGUCCGGAAUUACUGGGCGUAAAGAGCUUGUAGGCGGCUUGUCGCGUCGAUCGUGAAAACUCGGGGCUCAACCCCGAGCUUGCGGUCGAUACGGGCAGGCUUGAGUACUUCAGGGGAGACUGGAAUUCCUGGUGUAGCGGUGAAAUGCGCAGAUAUCAGGAGGAACACCGGUGGCGAAGGCGGGUCUCUGGGAAGUAACUGACGCUGAGAAGCGAAAGCGUGGGUAGCGAACAGGAUUAGAUACCCUAG